AGAGCCUGAUGCAGCUGCUUGCACUGUGCUGCCUGGCACAGUCUUAUGCCAAGAGGAGAAGGGAGCAAUUUCUGGUGGAGAAGGCUAAUACUCAACGCCGGUAUUUGGGCAGGAGGAGAGCCCUGAUUUUGGGCAGCAUUACGUCUACCCUGAGAUUUACCAGCGCGACUAAUCGAUCAUUGUGGACCAGAGACCACAGUCAUGGACAAGCUUUCUGGGCGACCGUGGAAGCUUAUCAGCCAGAACAGUGGAUGGUACACUGUUGGACGUCACAUGCUACGUUUUACUACCUGCUGGAACUUCUCACUCCAGCACUCACCAGGGGAAGAACCAACUACCGCAAGACCAUCGAGCUGUGCAGGAGACUGGCGAUUGUGUUGUGGUGGUAUGCAACACCGGGUUAAUACUGCACCAUCUCCUGCUUGUUCGGUGUUGGCAUAUCGACGGUGUGUGCUAGUGCAGGAAGUGACCCAGGCAUUGCUGGAAACCCUUUACCACUGUUUCAUCUCCUUACCACAGGUGACCGGCUGGAUGAUACCAUAAAAGGUUUCCUGCGACGUGGAUAUCCUCAGUGUGCUGGAGCCAUAGAUGGGACCCACAUACCCAUUAUUGCCCCCAAAGACAACCCAGCCGAUUACUACAACCGAAAAGGCUGGCACUCCAUCAUCCUGCAGGCUGUAGUGGACCAUAAGUAUUGAUAUCCUUCAGAGAGUCCUGUCCUGGGGCGGCAAAAAUUUAAUUUUAGGGGGAGAUUUCAACACGGUCGUUGAUCCAUCCAUGGACAGGUCGGGGAAAUAUGGACCCUCGAUAUGGGAAGAUUGCUCUGUGGAUGGAUCGACGGCCUGUGUCCCAUAGCAGGCAUUACAUUUUCACAGAUGUCUUCAUCGGCUGGUCGGGUCGUGCUCACGACUCCUGGGUACUUGGCAACACUAAAUUGUUCCAGAUUGCAGAAGAGAACCAACAUGGCUGGUUGUUCCCUAGAGAGAAAUCAAAGUUUGUUGAUGGUGUGGAAAUCCCGGUGCACCUUAUUGGAGAUGCGGCGUACCCUUCGAGGCGAUGGCUCAUCAAGGGCUUCACGCAGCAUCUCCCACUCUCUCCAGAACAAGUGCAUUUCACCCACACUCUCAGCCAGGAUGGUGGUGGAGAAUGCCUUUGGGAGACUGAAGGGGCAGUGGUGGUGUCUACUAAAGCGCAAUGACAUUGCCAUCACCCUGGUGCCGGAUGUGGUUGUUGCUUGCUGUAUCCUCCACAACUUUUGUGAGAUAUAGAACAAACACUUUUUACCAGAGUGGAAUGUUGUGGACUUUGAACUGUGCGUUACUCCGGUAGAAGCAGCAGCCUAUGGGAGAAGACAAGUAAGUGGCAGUGCUGAGGAAAUCUGCAACACCCUCACUGCUAACUUAACUACUAUGACACAGUAGGGGACACAAGAGAUAUGUUUCAAAAAAGUUUUGGUUUUAUUGUUUUUGAAAAAAGUUUUGGUUUUAUUGUUUUUGAAAAAGUUAUGUACUGUACAUGUUACCUCACAUGUAUCAUUUUACAGAUAACAUCUUUACAGUUUAAAA